rnacentral:rRNA from 1 species
GACGAACGCUGGCGGCGUGCCUAAUACAUGCAAGUAGAACGCUGUUGCGAACGGUUGAGUAACGCGUAGUUAACUGCCUCAUAGCGGGGGAUAAAUAUUGGAACUGCUAGCUAAUAUCGCAUACUGCGAGAUGGUCCUCCGUUGUAUUUGCUAGUUGGUGAGGUAAAGGCUCACCAAGGCGACGGUACAUCACCGACCUGGGAGGGUUGACGGCCAAACUGGGACUGGGGCAAGGCCCAGACUCCUUAGGGAGGCAGCAGUAGGGAAUCUGCGGCAAUGGACGGAAGUCUUACCGAGCAACGCCGGGUGAGUGAAGAAGGUUUUCGGAUCGUAAAGCUCUGUUGUUAGAGAAGCGGUAACUAACCAGAAAGGGACGGCUAACUACGUGCCAGCAGCCGCGGUAAUAC